GCGGUGCCCGAUGAGCCCGCGGCCUAUCAGCUUGUUGGUGAGGUAACGGCUCACCAAGGCGACGACGGGUAGCCGGCCUGAGAGGGCGACCGGCCACACUGGGACUGAGACACGGCCCAGACUCCUACGGGAGGCAGCAGUGGGGAAUAUUGCACAAUGGGCGCAAGCCUGAUGCAGCGACGCCGCGUGAGGGAUGACGGCCUUCGGGUUGUAAACCUCUUUCAGCAGGGAAGAAGCGCAAGUGACGGUACCUGCAGAAGAAGCGCCGGCUAACUACGUGCCAGCAGCCGCGGUAAUACGUAGGGCGCGAGCGUUGUCCGGAAUUAUUGGGCGUAAAGAGCUCGUAGGCGGCUUGUCGCGUCGGUUGUGAAAGCCCGGGGCUUAACCCCGGGUCUGCAGUCGAUACGGGCAGGCUAGAGUUCGGUAGGGGAGAUCGGAAUUUCCUGGUGUAGCGGUGAAAUGCGCAGAUAUCAGGAGGAACACCGGUGGCGAAGGCGGAUCUCUGGGCCGAUACUGACGCUGAGGAGCGAAAGCGUGGGGAGCGAACAGGAUUAGAUACCCUGGGUAGUCCACGCCGUAAACGGUGGGGCACUAGGUGUGGGGCGACAUUUCCACGUCGUCCGUGCCGCAGCUAACGCAUUAAGUGCCCCGCCUGGGGAGUACUGCCGCAAGGCUAAAACUCAAAAGGAAAUUGACGGGGGGCCC
rnacentral:rRNA from 1 species